UCACCAAUGUGACACAAGAAGAUGAAGGAAGAUACAGAUGUUUCGUCCCAAAGUUAAAGAGUCAAACAAGGUCUUUAGUUGUUCAUCUGAUUGUUGCUAAAACUGUGACAACAGAGACACCACUGCAUCCUGAAACUCUCCAAACUCCUAAUCUGGCAGAAGACUUUCACAGUAAAGGUGGUAUGACCCGUCGGAGCCGACUGAUCCCACUUG